rnacentral:misc_RNA from 1 species
UAACGUUAAGGCGCUUCAAAAUGGAACCAGUCAGUUACUCGGUUCUUCUGGUUGCAGUGAUUCCUCAAGAAUUAAGGGGCCAAUAAGGAGGUCUAGGCAGUGUAUAAGCUUGGUGUCUCCAGAGAAUCCAAUUAUGUAAAUGCCAGUCCAUAUUCUAAUUCUGACAAGUCUCUCAGAUGGUUCCCUCCAUUUGCGCUUUCUUUUACUGCUGCACCUACUUUCUUUCUCGGUUUGCAUCUUAAGCUGCUUAU